GUGGAACAUCCCAUACUUUUCAAAGAUCUCCUGGAGUCUGUGAAAGCUAUUUGUGUGAACAUGGGCAGCUGAAAGAAGCAAAGGCAUUGUGAGCCCUGCACAGUCUUGGGAUGGUCUGUGUUUGGGACAUGAGAGUAGUAUGGCGUUACUCUGUUUGCUUUGGAAGGACUCCAAAAUGAAACUUAAUGAGAUUGUGUUCAGUGGCUAUUACGGCUGGAGAAUUGAGAAAGGCAAAAAUAAAGUGAAAGAACAGAAAAUGAAGCUCUAA
rnacentral:lncRNA from 1 species